CCUGAAAGACAAAUAUUUCCCAUCAGUCUACCUGUGAACUCAGAGCUGUCUGCCUCCAGCUCUGCAAGGGUCACAAUGCUCUCCCAGUCCUUGCUCCUCUGGCUUCUACUGCUCUGGCCUGAAGAAUCCCAGGCAGCCAUUGAGCUGACCCAGUCCCCAGCCUCCCUGUCUGUGGCUGCAGGGGACCAAGUCACCAUCAGCUGCAAGGCCAGUUCCAGCAUUGGCAAGAGUAUGGCCUGGUACCAGCAGAAACCAGGACAGGCUCCCAAGCAACUGAUCUAUGAUGCUUCCACCCUGAACUCUGGGGUCCCUGCCUGGUUCAGUGGCAGUGGCUCUGGGACAGAUUUCAACCUGACCAUCAGUGCAGUGGAGGCUGAGGAUGUGGCAGAUUGUUACUGUUGUCAGGCUUAUAGUGCUGCAUUCCCACAGUGAUUCAGCGCUGAACAAAAACCUCUCCAGGCUGCUCAGCCCUUCAGCAGAGGGCAGCAGCUGCUUCCCCAGAGUCACAGGCUUG